ACGGAGGGUGCGAGCGUUAUCCGGAAUUACUGGGUUUAAAGGGUGCGUAGGCGGCUUUGUAAGUCAGGAGUGAAAGUUUGCGGCUCAACCGUAAAAUUGCUUCUGAUACUGCAUGGCUAGAAUUAGGAUGAGGUCAGCGGAAUGUGGCAUGUAGCGGUGAAAUGCAUAGAUAUGCCAUAGAACACCAAUUGCGAAGGCAGCUGGCUAGACCUGGAUUGACGCUGAGGCACGAAAGCGUGGGGAGCGAACAGGAUUAGAUACCCUGGUAGUCCACGCCCUAAACGAUGCUUACUCGACGUAUGGCACUAGUUGUUGUGCGUCCAAGGGAAACCGUUAAGUAAGCCACCUGGGGAGUACGACCGCAAGGUUG
rnacentral:rRNA from 1 species